AGCAGCCGCGGUAAUUCCAGCUCCAAUAGCGUAUAUUAAAGUUGUUGCAGUUAAAAAGCUCGUAGUUGAAUUUCGGGAUCAAUAUAUUGGUCAUGCUUAGGUAUGUACUGGUAUUAUUGAUUUCUCCCUUCUGAAGAACCAUAAUGUCAUUAAUUUGAUGUCAUGGGGAAUCAGGACUGUUACUUUGAAAAAUUAGAGUGUUUAAAGCAGGCUUUCGCUUGAAUACAUUAGCAUGGAAUAAUGAAAUAGGACGUUUGAUUCUAUUUUGUUGGUUUCUAGGAUCGACGUAAUGAUUAAUAGAGAUAGUUGGGGGCAUUAGUAUUCAAUUGUCAGAGGUGAAAUUCUUGGAUUUAUUGAAGACUAACUACUGCGAAAGCAUUUGCCAAGGAUGUUUUCAUUAAUCAAGAACGAAAGUUAGGGGAUCGAAGACGAUCAGAUACCGUCGUAGUCUUAACCAUAAACUAUGCCGACUAGGGAUCGGAUGAUGUUAAUUUUUAAUGACUC
rnacentral:rRNA from 1 species